rnacentral:rRNA from 1 species
ACGCCUAGUGGUUAAUACCCAUUAGGAAAGACAUCACUCGCAGAAGAAGCACCGGCUAACUCCGUGCCAGCAGCCGCGGUAAUACGGAGGGUGCAAGCGUUAAUCGGAAUUACUGGGCGUAAAGCGCGCGUAGGUGGCUUGAUAAGCCGGUUGUGAAAGCCCCGGGCUCAACCUGGGAACGGCAUCCGGAACUGUCAGGCUAGAGUGCAGGAGAGGAAGGUAGAAUUCCCGGUGUAGCGGUGAAAUGCGUAGAGAUCGGGAGGAAUACCAGUGGCGAAGGCGGCCUUCUGGACUGACACUGACACUGAGGUGCGAAAGCGUGGGUAGCAAACAGGAUUAGAUACCCUGGUAGUCCACGCCGUAAACGAUGUCGACCAGCCGUUGGGUGCCUAGAGCACUUUGUGGCGAAGUUAACGCGAUAAGUCGACCGCCUGGGGAGUACGGCCGCAAGGUUAAAACUCAAAUGAAUUGACGGGGGCCCGCACAAGCGGUGGAGCAUGUGGUUUAAUUCGAUGCAACGCGAAGAACCUUACCUACCCUUGACAUCUACAGAAGCCGGAAGAGAUUCUGGUGUGCCUUCGGGAACUGUAAGACAGGUGCUGCAUGGCUGUCGUCAGCUCGUGUUGUGAAAUGUUGGGUUAAGUCCCGUAACGAGCGCAACCCUUGUCCUUAUUUGCCAGCGAGUAAUGUCGGGAACUCUAAGGAGACUGCCGGUGACAAACCGGAGGAAGGUGGGGACGACGUCAAGUCAUCAUGGCCCUUACGGGUAGGGCUACACACGUGCUACAAUGGCCGGUACAAAGGGCUGCGAGCUCGCGAGAGUCAGCGAAUCCCUUAAAGCCGGUCUCAGUCCGGAUCGGAGUCUGCAACUCGACUCCGUGAAGUCGGAAUCGCUAGUAAUCGUGAAUCAGAAUGUCACGGUGAAUACGUUCCCGGGCCUUGUACACACCGCCCGUCACACCAUGGGAGUGGACUGCACCAGAAGUGGUUAGCCUAACGCAAGAGGGCGAUC